CACAGCUUCUAAAGAUUCCCUUUUAGACUCAGAGAUUCAGGAGUGGUACCUGCUUCUUGCUGUGACUGAAGGAGGAUCAGCCAGUACAAAGACAUUAGUACAGCAUAGAAACUUGCCUAAUAUUUAACCACAAACAUUUAGGGCUGGGAAGCUCUGGAUCUGAC